GUUCUUGCUUUGGCAGUACACAGACUAAAACUGGAAUGGUACAGAGAAGAUUAGCAUGGCCCCUGCUCAAGGAUGACAUACGAAUUUGUGAAGCAUUCGAUAUUUUA